rnacentral:rRNA from 1 species
UACGUAGGGGGCCAGCGUUGCUCGGAAUUACUGGGCGUAAAGGGCUCGUAGGCGGCCAACUAAGUCGGACGUGAAAUCCCUCGGCUUAACCGGGGAACUGCGUCCGAUACUGGAUGGCUUGAGUUCGGGAGAGGGAUGCGGAAUUCCAGGUGUAGCGGUGAAAUGCGUAGAUAUCUGGAGGAACACCGGUGGCGAAGGCGGCAUCCUGGACCGAUACUGACGCUGAUGAGCGAAAGCCAGGGGAGCAAACGGG